rnacentral:rRNA from 1 species
CCCCUUGACGAGAACCCCGGGAACUGGGGCUAAUCCCAGAUAGAUGAGAACUCCUGGAACGGGUUCUCGUCCAAAGGGCACCUAGGCCACGCUUCUAGGUGUCGCUCAAGGAUGGGGCCGCGGCCGAUCAGGCUGUUGGUGAGGCAACGGCUCACCAAACCUUUAACCGGUACGGGCCGUGGGAGCGGGUGCCCGGAGAUGGGAACUGAGACAAGGUCCCAGGCCCUACGGGGCGCAGCCGUUGCGAAACCUCGUCAAUGCACGAAAGUGUGAACGGGCUACCCCGAGUGCUGUCCGCUGAGGAUGGCUUUUCUCCGCUGUAAGGAGGCGGAGGAAUAAGGAGAGGGCAAGUCUGGUGUCAGCCGCCGCGGUAAUACCAGCUCUCCGAGUGGUGGGGAUGUUUAUUGGGCCUAAAGCGUCCGUAGCCUGCCCUUCAAGUCUUUCGUUAAAUCCAGCGAUUCAAUCGUUGGACUGCGGGAGAUACUGUUGGGCUAGGGGGCGGGAGAAGCCGACGGUAUUUCCGGGGUAGGGGUAAAAUCCUAUAAUCCCGGGAGGACCACCAGUGGCGUAGGCGGUCGGCUAGCACGUGCUCGACGGUGAGGGACGAAAGCUGGGGGAGCAAACCGGAUUAGAUACCCGGAUAGUCCCAGCUGUAAACGAUGCGGGCUAGGUGUUGGGGUGGCCACGAGCCACUUCAGUGCCGCAGGGAAGCCAUUAAGCCCGCCGCCUGGGGAGUACGGCCGCAAGGCUGAAACUUAAAGGAAUUGGCGGGGGAGCAC